rnacentral:snRNA from 1 species
GACCUCUGUCACCUAUUAAAAUUGGAACGAUACAGAGAAGAUUAGCAUGGCCCCUGCACAAGGAUGAGACUUCUCUCCAUCAAUGUAAUCAAUAACAU